rnacentral:misc_RNA from 1 species
GGGUCAAAGCCAGAGCCCAAGAAGCAGAAGCAGAAGCCGAAGCCGCAGCCCAAAGAGAAGCAGAAGCCGCAGUCUAAAUCAUGAUGAAUACCCUGGCGAACCAAAUGGGAUUAGGUCUCCUAGUCGGUGAGCUACUGGGAGGGAACGACUGUAAUGCUGCUUGUGUUCUGGAUCAUGUUCUUUUCGUUGAUGUGGGUGAUCUAUGUUUUGUUGUUUGUUGUUUUUAACUUCAUUGGAUGCUUUUUUUGUUCUUGCAGUAUAUGUGUGGGAAAAAUUUGUUGGCUUAGUAAUAGGUUAUUGCCAUAUAUUUUUGUCUAGCAGAAUAGUUAACAUUUGAACAUUUGAUUGCUAUCUAAGUAAUCUGUUUUGCUGGGCGGUUUUAUGACAAUAUCUUUUGCUGAAGGUGCUCCAUGCCCGCUUCAACCUAA